rnacentral:lncRNA from 1 species
GUGAGAAAAUUGAUACUUCCUUAUACUGCUCUCAAACUCAAGCCAAUUGAUGUUAAUCUGAAACUCUUUUUCGGUCGACUCAAUCGCUACAAGAAAUUUCCUUCGUUAUCUCUUCCGAAGGGUUCCUCUCUCUCUCUCUCUAUUUAUCUCAACAAAUUUGAUCUGAAAGAAAGAAAAAAGAAAACUAUUUCCUUUCCAUGAAAUACAUACAGAUCUUCUCUCUACCAAACAUUUUUUCUUUGCUAAGGGUUCUUGCUUUUCAAACCAUUUUU